rnacentral:tRNA from 1 species
AUUUAAAUAGCUUAUAUUUAGAGCGUGACACUGAAGAUGUUAAAGAGAUUAAUUUAAUCUUUAAAUA